AGUGGCGGACGGGUGAGUAACGCGUGGGUAACCUGCCUCAUACAGGGGAGUAACAGUUAGAAAUAGACUGCUAAUACCGCAUAAGACCACAGCACCGCAUGGUGCAGGGUAAAAACGUACCGGUGGUAUGAGAUGGACCCGCGUCUGAUUAGGUAGUUGGUGGGGUAACGGCCUACCAAGCCGACGAUCAGUAGCCGACCUGAGAGGGUGACCGGCCACAUUGGGACUGAGACACGGCCCAA
rnacentral:rRNA from 1 species